rnacentral:rRNA from 1 species
CCUACGGGGGGCAGGUUGCUUGGUACGGAGUCCCUCCUUGCGAUUCACCAAAAAUAAUCAAGCCACCGGAAGGCGGGAAGAUCGUUCUGGAAAAUCGCUUCCACGGAGAUAACGACGAGGAUUGGUUGGUCAGUUAUGACAGUGCGGAGAAAGAAGUCCACAGGUGGAACGUCCAUUGGGUCAUGUUUAUCCAAUGGCUGGAGGUGGAGGCAUGAAGAUUGAGCCGUGCCUCUACUGCGGAGCGGAGUUGGAGAUUAACGACGAGAACGAAGGGAUAGCAUGGUGCCCUACGGAGGGAUGCCCGUAUUUCGCCUUCACGGUAGACCCCGUUCUAUCCGCCCACAACCGCCGCUCGCGGAUCGUCCGGGCGGCGGAGGAAUACGUGAUGGCGCGGGAAGCGAUACCCGGGUAGUC